ensembl:miRNA
CCUCACAUUUCUGAGCAUCCUGGAUGUGUGUGCCUUCUAGAAAGCCAGGCCUGCCCAUCUAGGACACCAGUCUGGAAGG